rfam:Danio rerio chromosome 4, GRCz11 reference primary assembly.
GCAUUGGUGGUUUACAGGUAGAUUUCUCGACUGCCACGCGGGAGACCCGGGUCGGAUUUCUGGCCAAUGCA